rnacentral:rRNA from 1 species
GACGAACGCUGGCGGCGGGCUUAACACAUGCAAGUCGAACGAUGAAGCCCAGCGUGCUGGGUGGUUUAGUGGCGAAGGGGCGAGUAACACGUGAGCAACGUGCCCGAAACUCUGGAAUAACUACCGAAAACGGUGGCCAAUACUGGAUAUGUGACAGGGAGUACGCUCCACAGGAUGGAAAGUUUUUGCGGUUUCGGAUCGGCUGACGGCCUAUCGGCUUGUUGGGUGGGUAAUGGACUACCAAGGCGAGGACGGGUAGCCGGCCUGAGCGGGUGACCGGCCACAAUGGGACUGCGACACGGACCAGACUCCUACGGGAGGCAGAAGUGGGGAAUAUUGCACAAUGGGCGCAAGCCUGAUGCAGCAACGCCGCGUGAGGGAUGACGGCCUUCGGGUUGUAAACCUCUUUUAGUAGGGAAGAAGCGCAAGUGACGGUACCUGCAGAAAAAGCACCGGCUAACUACGUG